UACGGGGGGGGCAAGCGUUGUUCGGAAUUACUGGGCGUAAAGGGCGCGUAGGCGGCCUGCUAAGUCGGACGUGAAAUCCCUCGGCUCAACCGGGGAACUGCGUCCGAUACUGGCGAGGCUUGAAUCCGGGAGAGGGAUGUGGAAUUCCAGGUGUAGCGGUGAAAUGCGUAGAUAUCGGGAGGAACAUCAGUGGCGAAGGCGGCCUUCUGGUCCAGUACUGACACUCAAGUGCGAAAGCGUGGGGAGCAAACAGG
rnacentral:rRNA from 1 species